CCAUUUUUUACAGUUGUAACCCCGCACAGAAGGGAGGAUUGGAGUUGGGUAACCAUUGCCAGCGUCACUCCUGUGGCCCAAAUGAGCUUGAAUGGGAUUUGCGCCACAUGGAGAGUGCAAGAUGAAACGGUUGCAGUCAGCGGAAAAAAAAGGACAAAACACGAGAAAAACAGCAUUAUUUCAGAAGCUGUGAGGAGACUCUAUGAGGCACAAAAGGACACCACCAACAGUUUUGAUGCACAAGCAAUGUGGUGUAGUACAUAGCGGUGAAGAGGAUCUAUGGAAAACUGCUACCACAGACUUCAUGUCAGAUGAAGAGGACCCCCAUCAUCACCCCAUCUUCCUAAACCUUUG